rnacentral:rRNA from 1 species
UACAGAGGGUGCGAGCGUUGUCCGGAAUCACUGGGCGUAAAGCGCACGUAGGCGGCUUUGCAAGUCCCAUGUGAAAUCCCACGGCUUAACCGUGGAAGUGCAUGGGAAACUGCAGAGCUUGAGUACUUAAGAGGAUCGCGGAAUUCCCGGUGUAGAGGUGAAAUUCGUAGAUAUCGGGAGGAACACCAGUGGCGAAGGCGGCGAUCUGGGAAGAUACUGACGCUGAGGUGCGAAAGCGUGGGGAGCAAACAGG